rnacentral:pre_miRNA from 1 species
AGUGGAAUAGUUGGACCACAUGAUAAGUGUAUGUUCAUUCAUCUCUUUAAGAAACUGCCAAACUGUUUUUCAAAGUGGUUUGCAUCAUUUUACAUUCCUAGUAGCAGA